rnacentral:lncRNA from 1 species
AAGUGUCCUGCAGAUUCCCAGAAUUUCCUGACCAGCCCAGUCACUCAGAUCUAUGUCUGCCAUACAGGGAUCUCUGAAAGGUUGAGGAACCACUGUGUACCUGUAACUUUGAAACCAGGAAGAUUCUGUGAGAAUUCAAGUCGGACCCUGCCCCUCCGUGGACAUCCCUCCAAUGGCUCUCCGUCAAGCUAAUGUCCUUCCUCUUGCUCUUGAAAGCCUCUCAUGAUCAGCCUUCCAGAAAACAGCCUCAAUUCAACCCAUCAUUUGCUCCCCCAGGGCUUCUGCACCUGUUC